AAUGUUUUGUCUUCUUAUGAUAAAGUAAAAAUGAUUGGGGAAGCGAGGUGAAAAUCCUCCGCAGUGCCGCUACGGUAAUCCAUAGAAUAAACUUCUAUGGUAAGCCCGAAUGCCAAUUAUAAAUUGAAGCAUUUG
rnacentral:ncRNA from 2 species